GCCCCUGUAGCUCAGUGGAUAGAGCACUAGUCUCCGGAACUAGUAGCGUAGGUUCGAUUCCUACCAGGGGUACCA
rnacentral:tRNA from 3 species